rnacentral:rRNA from 1 species
CCUACGGGUCGCACCAGUGAGGAAUAUUGCGCAAUGGGGGAAACCCUGACGCAGCAACGCCGCGUGAGUGAGGAAGGCUUUUGAGUCGUAAAGCUCUGUCAAGUGGGAAGAAAUCAGCUAGUGUUAAUAGCAAUAGUUGUUGACGGUACCACUAGAGGAAGCACCGGCUAACUCCGUGCCAGCAGCCGCGGUAAUACGGGGGGUGCUAGCGUUAAUCGGAAUCAUUGGGCGUAAAGGGCGCGCAGGCGGCCUUGUAAGUCAGAUGAGAAAGCCCGGGGCUCAACCCCGGACGUACAUUUGAUACUACGAGGCUUGAGUAUGGGAGAGGGAAGUGGAAUUCCUGGUGUAGCGGUGAAAUGCGUAGAUAUCAGGAGGAACACCGGUGGCGAAGGCGACUUCCUGGACCAAUACUGACGCUGAGGCGCGAAGGCGUGGAUAGCAAACAGGAUUAGAUACCCUAGUAGUC